rnacentral:rRNA from 2 species
GACGGUAACAGCCCGGUAGUUGAAAUGGCUUUCCCUCCAGAGUGGAUCCUGAGUACGGCGGAACACGUGAAAUUCCGUCGGAAUCCGGGAGGACCAUCUCCCAAGGCUAAAUACUCCCUAGUGACCGAUAGUGAACCAGUACCGUGAGGGAAAGGUGAAAAGCACCCCGGAAGGGGAGUGAAACAGUUCCUGAAACCGUGUGCCUACAAGUAGUUAGAGCCCGUUAAUGGGUGAUAGCGUGCCUUUUGUAGAAUGAACCGGCGAGUUACGAUUUGUUGCAAGGUUAAGCGGAAAAAGCGGAGCCGUAGCGAAAGCGAGUCUGAAUAGGGCGCAUAAGUAACAGGUCGUAGACCCGAAACCAGGUGAUCUACCCAUGUCCAGGAUGAAGGUAAGGUAAUACUUACUGGAGGUCCGAACCCACGCACGUUGAAAAGUGCGGGGAUGAGGUGUGGGUAGCGGAGAAAUUCCAAUCGAACUUGGAGAUAGCUGGUUCUCUCCGAAAUAGCUUUAGGGCUAGCCUCGAGGUAAAGAGUCAUGGAGGUAGAGCACUGUUUGGACUAGGGGCCCUUCUCGGGUUACCGAAUUCAGAUAAACUCCGAAUGCCAUGUACUUAUACUCGGGAGUCAGACUGCGAGUGAUAAGAUCCGUAGUCGAAAGGGAAACAGCCCAGACCACCAGUUAAGGUCCCCAAAUAUAUGUUAAGUGGAAAAGGAUGUGGGGUUGCUUAGACAACCAGGAUGUUGGCUUAGAAGCAGCCACCAUUGAAAGAGUGCGUAAUAGCUCACUGGUCGAGUGACCCCGCGCCGAAAAUGUACCGGGGCUAAACAUAUUACCGAAACUGUGGAUGAACCUCUUUAGAGGUUCGUGGUAGGAGAGCGUUCUAAGGGCGGUGAAGUCAGACCGGAAGGACUGGUGGAGCGCUUAGAAGUGAGAAUGCCGGUAUGAGUAGCGAAAGAAGGGUGAGAAUCCCUUCCACCGAAUAUCUAAGGUUUCCUGAGGAAGGCUCGUCCGCUCAGGGUUAGUCGGGACCUAAGCCGAGGCCGAUAGGCGUAGGCGAUGGACAACAGGUAGAGAUUCCUGUACCAGUGCUAAUUGUUUAACCGAUGGGGUGACACAGAAGGAUAGGGAAUCGCACGAAUGGAAAUGUGCGUCCAAGCAGUGAGUGUGAGAAGUAGGCAAAUCCGCUUCUCGCGAAGCAUGAGCUGUGAUGGGGAAGGAAAUUAAGUACGGAAGUUCCUGAUUUCACGCUGUCAAGAAAAGCCUCUAGGAAGAGUAGUACUGCCCGUACCGCAAACCGACACAGGUAGAUGAGGAGAGAAUCCUAAGGUGAGCGAGAGAACUCUCGUUAAGGAACUCGGCAAAAUGACCCCGUAACUUCGGGAGAAGGGGUGCUCUAUUAGGGUGCAAGCCCGAGAGAGCCGCAGUGAAUAGGCCCAGGCGACUGUUUAGCAAAAACACAGGUCUCUGCAAAACCGUAAGGUGACGUAUAGGGGCUGACGCCUGCCCGGUGCUGGAAGGUUAAGAGGAGUGCUUAGCUUCGGCGAAGGUACGAAUUGAAGCCCCAGUAAACGGCGGCCGUAACUAUAACGGUCCUAAGGUAGCGAAAUUCCUUGUCGGGUAAGUUCCGACCCGCACGAAAGGCGCAACGAUCUGGGCACUGUCUCAACGAGAGACUCGGUGAAAUUAUAGUACCUGUGAAGAUGCAGGUUACCCGCGACAGGACGGAAAGACCCCGUGGAGCUUUACUGCAACCUGAUAUGGAAUGUUUGUACCGCUUGUACAGGAUAGGUAGGAGCCGAAGAGACGUGUGCGCUAGCAUACGAGGAGGCAAUGGUGGGAUACUACCCUGGCUGUAUGACCAUUCUAACCCGCCACGCUUAGCGCGUGGGGAGACAGUGUCAGGUGGGCAGUUUGACUGGGGCGGUCGCCUCCUAAAGAGUAACGGAGGCGCCCAAAGGUUCCCUC